rnacentral:snRNA from 1 species
GUGAUCACUUCAGCAGCACAUAUGCUAAAAUUGGAAUGAUACAAAGAAGAUUAUCAUGGUCCCUGUGCAAGGAUGACACGCAAACUUGAAAAUAUAAUUCUGCUACU